UCCGGUUGAUCCUGCCGGCGCUCACCGCUCUUGGAAUCCGAUUAAGCCAUGUGAGUCGAGAGGGUUCGGCCCUCGGCAAACUGCUCAGUAACACGUGGAUAACCUAACCUAAGGUGGGAGAUAAUCUCGGAAAACUGAGGCUAAUAUCCCAUAGACCUUGAUGACUGGAAUGUUUUGAGGUUUAAAGUUACGACGCCUUAGGAUGGGUCUGCGGCCUAUCAGGUUGUAGUUAGUGUAAAGGACUAACUAGCCGACGACGGGUACGGGCCAUGGGAGUGGUUGCCCGGAGAUGGACUCUGAGACACGAGUCCAGGCCCUACGGGGCGCAGCAGGCGCGAAAACUUUGCAAUGCGCGAAAGCGCGACAAGGGGAUUCCAAGUGCAUGCACUAAGUGUAUGCUUUUCGUGAGUGUAAAAAGCUCACGGAAUAAGGGCUGGGUAAGACUGGUGCCAGCCGCCGCGGUAAUACCAGCGGCCCUAGUGGUGAUCGUUUUUAUUGGGCCUAAAGCGUCCGUAGCCGGUUCGGUAAAUCUCUGGGUAAAUCGUUGGGCUUAACCCAACGAAUUCUGGGGAGACUGCCGAACUUGGGACCGGGAGAGGUCGGAGGUACUCCAGGGGUAGGGGUGAAAUCCUGUAAUCCUUGGGGGACCACCGGUGGCGAAAGCGUCCGACCAGAACGGGUCCGACGGUAAGGGACGAAGCCCUGGGUCGCGAACCGGAUUAGAUACCCGGGUAGUCCAGGGUGUAAACGCUGUGCGCUUGGUGUAGGGGGUCCUACGAGGGCAUCCUGUGCCGGAGAGAAGUUGUUAAGCGCACCGCCUGGGGAGUACGGUCGCAAGACUGAAACUUAAAGGAAUUGGCGGGGGAGCACAGCAACGGGAGGAGCGUGCGGUUUAAUUGGAGUCAACGCCGGG
rnacentral:rRNA from 1 species